ensembl:miRNA
GGUGGAGGGUGAGUGCUGUAGGAUGGGGCUCCCGGCCCUACGGCUGGGCUGCUCCCCUGCCCCUCACUCCCUUCCCC